rnacentral:rRNA from 1 species
CCGGCGAACGGGUGCGUAACACGUGAGCAACCUACCGAAAUGAGGGGGAUAGCCGUCCCAACGGACGGGUAAUACCGCAUAAGCUCUUGUCCAGGCAUUUGGAUUAGAGGAAACCUCCGGGGCGUUUCGAGGGGCUCGCGGCCUAUCAGCUAGUUGGUGAGGUAACGGCUCACCAAGGCGACGACGGGUAGCUGGUCUGAGAGGAUGGCCAGCCACAUUGGGACUGAGAUACGGCCCAG